rnacentral:rRNA from 1 species
CGGCAACAGCUCAAAUUUGAAAUCUGGCGCAAGCCCGAGUUGUAAUUUGGAGAGGAUGCUUCUAGGCAGCGGCCGGUCUAAGUUCCUUGGAACAGGACGUCAUAGAGGGUGAGAAUCCCGUAUGUGACCGGUUGGCACCUAACACGUAGCUCCUUCGACGAGUCGAGUUGUUUGGGAAUGCAGCUCUAAAUGGGAGGUAAAUUUCUUCUAAAGCUAAAUACUGGCCAGAGACCGAUAGCGCACAAGUAGAGUGAUCGAAAGAUGAAAAGCACUUUGGAAAGAGAGUUAAAAAGCACGUGAAAUUGUUGAAAGGGAAGCGCAUGCAACCAGACUUGUCAGCGGUGUUCCGCCGGUCUUCUGACCGGUCUACUCGCCGCUGGCAGGCCAGCAUCACUUGGGACCGCCGGACAAAGGCCACGGGAAUGUAGCUCCUCGGAGUGUUAUAGCCCGCGGCACAAUACGGCGCGCCCCGAGUGAGGUCCGCG